rnacentral:rRNA from 1 species
UACGGGGGGUGCGAGCGUUGUCCGGAAUCACUGGGCGUAAAGGGCGCGUAGGUGGCUUGGUAAGCGUGUGGUGAAAGCCCGGGGCUCAACCCCGGGUCUGCCAUGCGAACUGCUAUGGCUUGAGCACUGUAGAGGCAGGUAGAAUUCCGGGUGUAGCGGUGGAAUGCGUAGAGAUGCGGAGGAACACCAGUGGCGAAAGCGGCUUUCUGGUCCUUAACUGACGCUGAGGAGCGAAAGCAUGGGUAGCGAACAGG